UUUUUUAAGACUGAAUAAACUUGAACGAGGAUGAACGCCGAUAUCAGCCGAUAUCGCGAUCGGUAUCUGCGGCUGCUGAAAAAAUCAUGGAGACUCCAUAGAACGCUUAAAUAGUUGAGGUAUAUACACUGGAGCAACUCAAGUGCAUGUGUGACUUUUUGAGAAGAAACCACACAAGGCUGUUGGUUAGCAAUCACCAUGUAAAAGGGUUUGCAGAAACCAGACAGAGAGCCUGUGUGGAGAUGCUAUUGGCUGCCCAGGUCGGACUGCCUCAAACCUGAGGCGGUCUUGGAGUGAUCUAACAAAAGAGUGAAUGAUUAUGCUAGGAAUCAGACAAAGACUGGUGGUAAAGUGAAGCCAAAUAUGGAGAUUGUGCUGGCAGCCAUGAGGGACAAGGCCAAGCAUUGGGUCCAUGGCCAGGAGACAGAGACUGGGGCAUCUGAGCAACUGCUUUCACAUAAGGCAGCCUGCUUCUGGACAUGGGGAAGCCAGAGGAGGAAAAGGAGGUUGAGGCGGAACCUCAAGCUGUUCCCAGGGCACCAUUGACAUCCAGGGUAGAUGGGGUCUAGUUGAUUUUUAGGACACCAAGAUGACACCCAGCAUAAGAGAAGAGAAGGUGCUCUUCCUGUUAUGACCAGCACACCAAGUACCAGGAGCAUGGAUCUGCAGCAAGUUCAGCAGGAGACGCUCAGAAU